rnacentral:rRNA from 1 species
GAUGAACGCUGGCGGCGUGCCUAAUACAUGCAAGUCGAGCGAACGGACGAGAAGCUUGCUUCUCUGAUGUUAGCGGCGGACGGGUGAGUAACACGUGGAUAACCUACCUAUAAGACUGGGAUAACUUCGGGAAACCGUAGCUAAUACCGGAUAAUAUUUUGAACCGCAUGGUUCAAAAGUGAAAGACGGUCUUGCUGUCACUUAUAGAUGGAUCCGCGCUGCAUAGCUAGUUGGUAAGGUAACGGCUUACCAAGGCAACGAUGCAUAGCCGACCUGAGAGGGUGAUCGGCCACACUGGAACUGAGACACGGUCCAGACUCCUACGGGAGGCAGCAGUAGGGAAUCUUCCGCAAUGGGCGAAAGCCUGACGGAGCAACGCCGCGUGAGUGAUGAAGGUCUUCGGAUCGUAAAACUCUGUUAUUAGGGAAGAACAUAUGUGUAAGUAACUGUGCACAUCUUGACGGUACCUAAUCAGAAAGCCACGGCUAACUACGUG